rnacentral:rRNA from 1 species
UGAGUACGAGCGGCUACGGCCGCGAAGUGGAUGAUGUCAAGCUUCCAAGAAAAGCCCUAUACCCGUUAAGGCGUGAUGGCCUGUACCCGAAACCGACACAGGUGGGGUGGUAGAGAAUACCGAGGGGCGCGAGGUAACUCUCUCUAAGGAACUCGGCAAAAUGGCCCCGUAACUUCGGGAGAAGGGGUGCCACCGCGAGGUGGUCGCAGUGAAGAGGCCCAGGCGACUGUUUACCAAAAACACAGGUCUCCGCUAAGUCGCAAGACGAUGUAUGGGGGCUGACGCCUGCCCAGUGCCGGAAGGUUAAGGAAGCUGGUCAGCGCAAGCGAAGCUGGCGACUGAAGCCCCGGUGAACGGCGGCCGUAACUAUAACGGUCCUAAGGUAGCGAAAUUCCUUGUCGGGUAAGUUCCGACCCGCACGAAAGGCGUAACGAUCUGGGCGCUGUCUCGGAGAGAGGCUCGGCGAAAUAGAAUUGUCUGUGAAGAUGCGGACUACGUGCACCCGGACAGAAAGACCCUAUGAAGCUUUACUGUAGCUUGGUAUUGUGCUCGGGCUCGGAAUGCGCAGGAUAGGUGGGAGGCUUUGAUCCAUUGCUUGCGGGUGAUGGUGAGCCACUGGUGAGAUACCACUCUUUCCGAGCUAGAGUUCUAACAGCAACCCGUUAUCCGGGUGCUGGACAGUAUCAGGUGGGCGGUUUGACUGGGGCGGUCGCCUCCUAAAAGGUAACGGAGGCGCGCAAAGGUCUGCUCAGGCUGGUUGGAAAUCAGCCGACGAGUGUAAAAGCAGAAGCAGGCUUGACUGUGAGACCUACAAGUCGAACAGGGAGGAAACUCGGCUUUAGUGAUCCGACGGUUCUGCGUGGAAGGGCCGUCGCUCAACGGAUAAAGGUUACUCUAGGAUAACAGGCUGAUCUCCCCCAAGAGUUCACAUCGACGGGGAGGUUUGGCACCUCGAUGUCGGCUCAUCGCAACCUGGGGCUGAAGUCGGUCCCAAGGGUUGGGCUGUUCGCCCAUUAAAGCGGUACGCGAGCUGGGUUCAGAACGUCGUGAGACAGUUCGGUCCAUAUCCGGUGCACGCGCAGGAAUAUUGAGAGGAUUUCUCCCUAGUACGAGAGGACCGGGAGGAACGCACCUCUGGUGUGCCAGUUAUCGUGCCAACGGUAAACGCUGGGUAGCCAUGUGCGGAGUGGAUAACCGCUGAAAGCAUCUAAGUGGGAAGCCCACCUCAAGAUGAGUAUUCCCAUGGCAUAAGCCAGUAAGGUCACGGGAAGAACACCCGUUGAUAGGCUCUACGUGGAAGCGCAGUAAUGUGUGAAGCGGAGGAGUACUAAUAGACCGAGGGCUUGACC